GACGAACGCUGGCGGCGUGCCUAAUACAUGCAAGUCGAACGCAGUGGGGACGGGUGAGUAACACGUGGGUAACCUCCCAUCAGAGGGGAUAACACUUGGAAACAGGUGCUAAACCGAUACGGAUGGAUGGACCCGCGGUGCAUUCGCUAGUUGGUGAGGUAACGGCUCACCAAGGCGACGAUGCAUAGCGGGCCUGAGAGGGUGAUCAGCCACACUGGGACUGAGACACGGCCCAGAAUCCUACGGGAGGCAGCAGUGGGGAAUCUUCGACAAUGGGCGAAAGCCUGAUGCAGCCAUGCCGCGUGAAUGAAGAAGGCUUUCGGGUUGUAAAGUACUUUCAGUAGGGAGGCGUUAUCGACAGAGGAAGCAACGGCUAACUCCGUGCCAGCAGCCGCGGUAAUAC
rnacentral:rRNA from 1 species